UACGUAGGGGCCGAGCGUUGUCCGGAGUUAUUGGGCGUAAAGCGCGCGCAGGCGGCCUCGCGCGCCCGACGUGAAAGCCCCCGGCUUAACCGGGGAGGGUCGUUGGGGACGGCGGGGCUUGAGGGCGGGAGAGGGUGGUGGAAUUCCCGGUGUAGUGGUGAAAUGCGUAGAGAUCGGGAGGAACACCCGUGGCGAAGGCGAGUCUCUGGACAUUUCCUGACGCUGAGGCACGAAAGCCAGGGGAGCAAACGGG
rnacentral:rRNA from 1 species